GACGUAGGGUGCGAGCGUUGUCCGGAUUCAUUGGGCGUAAAGAGCUCGUAGGCGGCUUGGCAAGUCGGGUGUGAAACCUCCAGGCUCAACCUGGAGACGCCACCCGAUACUGCCAUGGCUAGAGUCCGGUAGGGGACCACGGAAUACCUGGUGUAGCGGUGAAAUGCGCAGAUAUCAGGUGGAACACCGGUGGCGAAGGCGGUGGUCUGGGCCGGAACUGACGCUGAGGAGCGAAAGCGUGGGGAGCGAACAGG
rnacentral:rRNA from 1 species